AUCGAACGCUGGCGGCGUGCCUAAUACAUGCAAGUAGGACGAGUUGCGAACGGGUGAGUAACGCGUGGUAACCUACCCAUUAGAGGGGGAUAACUAUUGGAAACGCUAGCUAAUACCGCAUACAUUGUGAUGGAUCUGCGUUGUAUUAGAUAGUAGGUAGGGUAAUGGCCUACCUAGGCAACGAUACAUAGCCGAACUGAGAGGGUGAGCGGCAACACUGGGACGGAGACACGGCCCAGACUCCGACGGGAGGCAGCAGGGGGGAAUAUUGGACAAUGGGCGAAAGCCUGAGGCAGCCAUGCCGCGUGUAUGAAGAAGGCCUUCGGGUGGUAAAGUACUUUCAGCGAGGAGGCGUUACUCGCAGAAGAAGCACCGGCUAACUCCGUGCCAGCAGCCGCGGUAAUUC
rnacentral:rRNA from 1 species